CGCAAUUUCGCUAUACGGCCAGUGGUGGAUGACUAGGUUGGCUAGCCGAAGAAGGGCGUGACAAGCAGCGAAAUGCCGCGGGUAGACGCAUGAAGUCUUUGAACCGCGGAUACCCUAAUGGGACUUCCUCACAUGGGUUAAUACCCCAUGUGGAUCCGGGGUCAUUCUCGGAUUGGGAACGCUCGGAAUUGAAGCAUCUUAGUACGGGCAGGAAAAGAAAACAACUGUGAUUCCCUUAGUAACAGCGAGCGAAAGGGGAACAGGCCAAACCGAAUCCCUAUACGAUGAGUAUAGGGGGAUGUGGUGUAAGGGCCAAGAACAAUUGCCUACACAUACGAAACUGAAGUUGUCUGGAACGACAUGGCAUAGAGGGUGACACCCCCGUAGGUGCAAGAUGUCGGCAUGUUCAUGGAUCCAGAGUAGCGCGGGUUGGUUAUCUCGCGUGAAUGUCGCAAGUACAAUUUGCGAAGCCUAAAUACUAAGCCAAACCGAUAGUAAACUAUGUAGCGCGAGCGAAAGUUGAAAAGUGCCGCGGAAGCGGGGUGAAAAGCACCUGAAACCACUGGUUUAUACAAAGGAUGCUGAUUACAAGAUGAGAUACUCGGGGAACGAAGCACGAGUGAUUGUGUUGUAGGACCUGAGUGGAUCGAAUCAGCAUCAUCCGUCUCGAAACACGGGCCAGGGAGUUCAUGGGCGUGGCGAGGAUAAGGCGAAGAGCCGUAAACGAAGGGAAACCGAUAAGCCCGCAGCUGCUUGCAGUGAGGGGCGGCGUGUGAAAGUGCGCGAAGUCACUCCCAUGACACGAGAAACCAGUCGAUCUAGGCUUGGCCAGGGUGAAGCCGGGCGAAAGCUCGGUGGAGGCCCGAGUGGGUUAUGACGUGCAACUCUCUCCUUUGAGCUGAGCGUAGGGGUAAAAGGCUUAUCUAGACUGGUGAUUGCUCGUUCUCUGCGAAGUUGGUCGCAGCCAAGCCUCGCUUGAGGUAUCAUGUGGUGUAGAGCACUUUCGGAUGUGCCCGGGGGGCGUCAAGCCCUUCACCAUCCUGAAAACUCCGAAGCUGCAUGAACCGUAGACGGCGGGAGACGGGUGCCCGGGGUAAGCCCGGCAGGCCGAGAUGGGGAGAACCGAGAGUAUGGUUAAGGUCCCUAAGUACCAGAUAAGUGCGGUGAAGAAGGGCGUCGAGAGCCCAAGACAGUCUGGGGGUGAGCUUAGAAGCAGCUA
rnacentral:rRNA from 1 species